rnacentral:rRNA from 1 species
AUUUUGGACAAUGGGCGAAAGCCUGAUCCAUCCAUGCCGCGUGAGUGAAGAAGGCCUUCGGGUUGUAAAGCUCUUUCGGCCGGGACGAAAUCGCAUGCGUGAAUAUCGUGUGUGGAUGACGGUACCGGAAUAAGAAGCACCGGCUAACUACGUGCCAGCAGCCGCGGUAAUACGUAGGGUGCGAGCGUUAAUCGGAAUUACUGGGCGUAAAGCGUGCGCAGGCGGUUUCGUAAGCCAGAUGUGAAAUCCCCGGGCUUACCUGGGAACUGCAUUUGGGACUGCGAGGCUAGAGUACGGCAGAGGGAGGUGGAAUUCCACGUGUAGCAGUGAAAUGCGUAGAUAUGUGGAGGAACACCGAUGGCGAAGGCUGCCUCCUGGGCUAGUACUGACGCUCAUGCACGAAAGCGUGGGGAGCAAACAGGAUUAGAUACCCUGGUAGUCCACGCCCUAAACGAUG